GAUGAACGCUGGCGGCGUGCCUAACACAUGCAAGUCGAACGAAGCUACAUUUUACAAUCCCUUCGGGGUGACGAAUUGUAGACUGAGUGGCGGACGGGUGAGUAACGCGUGGGCAACCUGCCCUAUACCGGGGGAUAGCAGCUGGAAACGGCUGAUAAUACCGCAUAAGCGCACAGAGAGACAUCUCUUAGUGUGAAAAACUCCGGUGGUAUAGGAUGGACCCGCGUCUGAUUAGCCAGUUGGUGAGGUAAAGGCCCACCAAAGCGAAGAUCAGUAGCCGACCUGAGAGGGUGACCGGCCACAUUGGGACUGAGACACGGCCCAAACUCCUACGGGAGGCAGCAGUGGGGAAUAUUGCACAAUGGGCGAAAGCCUGAUGCAGCGACGCCGCGUGAGUGAUGAAGUAUUUCGGUAUGUAAAGCUCUAUCAGCAGGGAAGAAAAUGACGGUACCUGACUAAGAAGCUCCGGCUAAAUACGUG
rnacentral:rRNA from 1 species